CAAUUUACAGCUAAUUCACGAAUACAAGAGGGAAAGGAUCAUGAAAGUUGACACUGAGCAAGAGAAAACUCAAGAAAAUAUAAGGGCGUCCCAUUGCAUGGGGCUCCAGUAUUGAAGGAUCCAAGGAGGUGUAGACAUACAGAAAACAAAAUGCUAUAGCAUUUAACAACCAGAAUCAGAGUCAUGUAACAUGUAUGGUCACUAGAAUUUUAAUAAUAGUCUCCAGGACGAGAAACAACAAAGGCAAGCAUUCUCGUUAUGCAAAUGC